rnacentral:rRNA from 1 species
UACGGAGGGGGCUAGCGUUGUUCGGAAUUACUGGGCGUAAAGCGCGCGUAGGCGGACCUGCAAGUCGGGGGUGAAAGCCCGAGGCUCAACCUCGGAACUGCCUUCGAUACUGCGGGUCUCGAGUCCGGGAGAGGUGAGUGGAAUUCCUAGUGUAGAGGUGAAAUUCGUAGAUAUUAGGAAGAACACCAGUGGCGAAGGCGGCUCACUGGCCCGGUACUGACGCUGAGGCGCGAAAGCGUGGGGAUCGAACAGG